rnacentral:lncRNA from 1 species
CUUUAAAAAGUGAAUAAAGAGAGGGUAAUGUGCUGAAAGACAGCCAAUUAUUUCAUAAAUGUAAACUACACUAAAAAGUGAUGUACGGCAUUAUAUAUUUAUGGAUACAAUUUUGUUCUACUGUCACAUAACAAAAUGAAUAAUACAUUAGUCCAAGAACUUGUCAUUAAGUGAACUUCUUUGUUGCAUUUCCAUUAAAAUAAAGUCCUUGGUCUGUGUAUAUGCAUGACAUUAACCCUUUUCUGGGAGUACAGUGUAGUGUGAGUGAAGGUACUAUGAGACUGUAAAUUUGAAGUAGAUUUUAUAAUUUUUAAGGUGAAAGGAUUCUAAUGAGAUUCAUCUAAGAUUUGAAGUCAUUCAGGAUGGUUUUACAACUCUUUUUCUGUUAAUGAGAUGUGAUAAAUGGAAUUGCUACUGAAUAUUAUUUGGACAAGAAAAUGCUGUUCUUUUUGACAGUCUCUAUUAUCUGAACAUUUUUGUAGUAACCGGUUGGAAAGAGAGAGUUCCUUUGCAAGAAUUAAUGAGAAGGUGGAUUCAGGGAAGACUUAUUUAAACGUUAGAAAACUUCCAGUUGACAGAAAAAUUGGAUCAGUUUACUACCAACUUGGACGUGAAAGGACUCUUUAAAAGGUUUCUGGCUCUUAACCAGAAAUGAAGAGCGUGAGUGCCUAUUGAAACAGUCCCUUGCAGUCAGGCAGCUUUUUCUUCUGUGUGGGAGUAGCUGCCUUUGCUCUCCUAAGGUAAGUUUUCUUGACUUCUGCUCUCAGGGACAGAAUACAAGGGUUACUUGGGCUGUCAUCAGCAGUUUAACUCAUUUGCCUGGCUACCCUUAAAAAGACUUUGCUUAAGCCAAGUGUAGAUUUCUACCCAUUCAGGGUUGAAAGGGUAGGAAAAUAUGAAAAACGUACA